rnacentral:rRNA from 1 species
AUUGAACGCUGGCGGCAGGCCUAACACAUGCAAGUCGAGCGGAUGAAGGGAGCUUGCUCCUGGAUUCAGCGGCGGACGGGUGAGUAAUGCCUAGGAAUCUGCCUGGUAGUGGGGGAUAACGUCCGUAAACGGGCGCUAAUACCGCAUACGUCCUGAGGGAGAAAGUGGGGGAUCUUCGGACCUCACGCUAUCAGAUGAGCCUAGGUCGGAUUAGCUAGUUGGUUGGGUAAAGGCCUACCAAGGCGACGAUCCGUAACUGGUCUGAGAGGAUGAUCAGUCACACUGGAACUGAGACACGGUCCAGACUCCUACGGGAGGCAGCAGUGGGGAAUAUUGGACAAAGGGCGAAAGCCUGAUCCAGCCAUGCCGCGUGUGUGAAGAAGGUCUUCGGAUUGUAAAGCACUUUAAGUUGGGAAGAAGAGCAGUAAGUUAAUACCUUGCUGUUUUGACGUUACCAACAGAGUAAGCACCGGCUAACUUCGUG